CCGCGUGGGUGAUGAAGGUCUUCGGAUUGUAAAGCCCUGUUUUCUAGGACGAUAAUGACGGUACUAGAGGAGGAAGCCACGGCUAACUACGUGCCAGCAGCCGCGGUAAUACGUAGGUGGCGAGCGUUGUCCGGAUUUACUGGGCGUAAAGGGUGCGUAGGCGGAUGUUUAAGUGGGAUGUGAAAUCCCCGGGCUUAACCUGGGGGCUGCAUUCCAAACUGGAUAUCUAGAGUGCAGGAGAGGAAAGCGGAAUUCCUAGUGUAGCGGUGAAAUGCGUAGAGAUUAGGAAGAACACCAGUGGCGAAGGCGGCUUUCUGGACUGUAACUGACGCUGAGGCACGAAAGCGUGGGUAGCAAACAGGAUUAGAUACCCUGGUAGUCCACGCCGUAAACGAUGGAUACUAGGUGUAGGGGGUAUCAACUCCCCCUGUGCCGCAGUUAACACAAUAAGUAUCCCGCCUGGGGAGUACGGUCGCAAGAUUAAAACUCAAAGGAAUUGACGGGGGCCCGCACAAGCAGCGGAGCAUGUGGUUUAAUUCGAAGCAACGCGAAGAACCUUACCUGGACUUGACAUCCCUUGCAUAGCCUAGAGAUAGGUGAAGCCCUUCGGGG
rnacentral:rRNA from 1 species